rnacentral:tRNA from 1 species
GCCGAUGUGGCGGAAUGGCAGACGCAAGCGACUCAAAAUCGCUCGGGAAACCAUGUGGGUUCGAGUCCCACCAUCGGCA